rnacentral:rRNA from 1 species
GACGACAGCUGGCGGCGUGCUUAACACAUGCAAGUCGAACGAAGUGGCGAACGGGUGAGUAACGCGUAAUCAAACUGCCCUUCAGAGGGGGACAACAGUUGGAAACGACUGCUAAUAACGCAUACUGAAGGAGGGGAUUGCGUCUGAUGAGCUAGUUUGAGGGGUAACGGCCCACCAAGGCGAUGAUAAGUAGCCGGUCUGAGAGGAUGAACGGGCACAUUGGGCCUGAGACACGGUCCAGACUCCUACGGGAGGUAGCAGUGGGGAAGCUUUCGCAAUGGACGAAAGUCUGACGGAGCAACGCCGCGUGAGUGAUGACGGCCGUCGGGUUGUAAAGCUCUGUUAAUCGGGACGCGGUACCGGAAUAGAAAGCCACGGCUAACUACGUGCCAGCAGCCGCGGUAAUAC